CGCCACUUGCGGAGCCUUGAAUGCAUCCAGUCACUGGAGCUGAGCGACAUGAAAUAAUUCAGCGUAUGCAAGUCAGUAUCCUACUGGCGACACUUUCGAACUGACGGGGAAGCCCUAAAGCCCUUCACACCAAACCAGCCGAGGAAACUCGCUGGCGGCCGGUGGGAAACCACCGGGUAUGGUAAUAGAGGAAGGGAUACUCUAGUAUCUGGAGAAAUGGGUGAUCCGCAGCGAAGUCCCUACGGUUCUAGGUGCCUUGCGUGCCUGGGAUACGGGAAACGUUCACUGACUAAGUGGAAGUGGGUAGAACACUGGUUCUGCUUAAGAUAUAGUCGAGACCCCUGGGAGACUUGGGGAGGAAAACUGUUCCGUAGGUGAACCUGCGGAAGGAUCAUUACUGUGGGUCUUCGCAAGAAGCCCGCGAGGUAGCACCCUUUGCCUUUUGAGUACUUACUGUUUCCUCGGCGGGCUUGCCCGCCAACGGGGACUCCAACCAACCUUUUGCAGUAGUAUAUAAACGUCUGAUACCUAUAAAUUAUUACAACUUUCAACAAUGGAUCUCUUGGUUCUGGCAUCGAUGAAGAACGCAGCGAAAUGCGAUAAGUAGUGUGAAUUGCAGACUUCAGUGAAUCAUCGAAUCUUUGAACGCACAUUGCGCCCCUUGGUAUUCCAUGGGGCAUGCCUGUUCGAGCGUCAUUUCAACCCUCAAGCUCUGCUUGGUGUUGGGUGUUUGUCCUGCCUACGUGCGCGACUCGCCUUAAAGGAAUUGGCAGCCUGUCCUUAGUUUGGUGCGCAGCAGAAUCAGCGCACUGAGACCGAGCCACGGGCGUCCACAAGCUCUUUACCCAUGUUUGACCUCGGAUCAGGUAGGGAUACCCGCUGAACUUAAGCAUAUCAAUAAGCGGAGGAAAAGAAACCAACAGGGAUUGCCUUAGUAACGGCGAGUGAAGCGGCAACAGCUCAAAUUUGAAAUCUGGCGUCCUUGGGCGUCCGAGUUGUAAUUUGCAGAGGGCGCUUUGGCGUUGGCAGCAGUCUAAGUUCCUUGGAACAGGACGUCGCAGAGGGUGAGAAUCCCGUAUGUGAUUGCGUGCCUUCGCCGUGUAAAGCCCCUUCAACGAGUCGUGUUGUUUGGGAAUGCAGCACUAAAUGGGAGGUAAAUUUCUUCUAAAGCUAAAUACUGGCCAGAGACCGAUAGCGCACAAGUAGAGUGAUCGAAAGAUGAAAAGCACUUUGGAAAGAGAGUCAAACAGCACGUGAAAUUGUUGAAAGGGAAGCGCUUGUAGCCAGACUUGCCUGCAGUUGCUCAUCCGGGCUCCUGCCCGGUGCACUCUUCUGCAGGCAGGCCAGCAUCAGUUUAGGCGGCUGGAGAAUGGCCUCUGUCAUGUACCUUCUCUCGGGAAGGCCUUAUAGGGGAGGCGUAAUACAGCCAGUCUGAACUGAGGUCCGCGCAUCUGCUAGG
rnacentral:rRNA from 1 species